GUUGGGCAUGGUGGUGUGUGCCUGUAGUCCCAGCUACUUGGGAAGCUGAGGCAGGAGGAUCACUUGAGUCCAGGAGGUUGCAGCUGCAGUGAGCUAUGACUGUGCCACUGCAGUCCAACCUGGGUGACAGAGUGAGACCCUGUCUCUU
ensembl:misc_RNA Metazoa_SRP Metazoan signal recognition particle RNA